rnacentral:rRNA from 1 species
ACGGCGAGUGAAGCGGCAACAGCUCAAAUUUGAAAUCUGGCCCCCCGGCCCGAGUUGUAAUUUGCAGAGGAUGCUUCUGGCGACGCGCCUUCCGAGUUCCCUGGAACGGGACGCCACAGAGGGUGAGAGCCCCGUCCGGUCGUGCGCCUAGCCUGUGUGAAGCUCCUUCGACGAGUCGAGUAGUUUGGGAAUGCUGCUCUAAAUGGGAGGUAUACGUCUUCUAAAGCUAAAUACCGGCCAGAGACCGAUAGCGCACAAGUAGAGUGAUCGAAAGAUGAAAAGCACUUUGAAAAGAGGGUUAAAUAGUACGUGAAAUUGCUGAAAGGGAAGCGCUUAUGACCAGACUUGGGCCCGGUGAAUCACCAGCGUUCUCGCUGGUGCACUUUGCCGGCCCAGGCCAGCAUCAGUUCGCGCCGGGGGAUAAA